UUAAAUUAUUCCUAUUUUGAGUGGGUUGCUUUUGUCAUUGAAUCUUACAACUUAAGAUUAUUACAUUUUUGGAGAUUUUUACGAAGGCACUCUGGUAGAGGAAUAACUUCAGACCAUGUAAUUGUGUUGUCCUCUGGUAGAGGAAUAACUUCAGACCAUGUAAUUGUGUUGUCUGUCAUUCUGAUCAAUUUAUUGUGUGCUUUGCUAUAGAAUUUAUCGCUCUUUUCUUCCAUUUCCUACAGGCAGUGAGGAGUCCUGUACAAGUUUGCGCCAUGCGUCAGGCGAGACUCCUUUUUGUCAUUUGAACAGACUUUGUUAGUUGUUACUGAGAUACAUACAAAUUAAUCAAAUUAUCUCAACUUGUCAUUCCUUCCUAACAGUUUUUUUCAGUCUCGAUGGAUUGGCAGAAAGUGUGUCCUCUUUUUUUUCCCAUCAGUGUGGUCCAAUAGCUAUAUAAUCUGUAAAUAAUAAGUCGAUUUUGUGUUGCAUAUACUCUCGAUUCUUUCAAUACUCUUUUUGGCAAUUGUUCCUUGUAGAUCUGCAGUUUAGAUUAUCGAAUCUUUGUAGUUAAAUUUUCCAUUUGUUUUAUAAAUACAGUGCUUCAUGUGUGUUUGAAGUCUACACGGGCGGCACCAUCCUUUAGUGGUGGCUCGGCGUGGCUCAACUUUGGGGUAGCCCAGCAUUCCCCAUGCAAGCCAGGGGCAUAGACUUUCAGGCUCGCUUCGUGGCCACUUUUAUAGCUCUAUUCCGCCAUCUCUGACGAAAUUGGCGUUUCAUAGCAGUCUAUUUAAGAAUUCAGAUUAAAACCAAGAUGGAUUAUUGGAUAUUUAUACCAAUUAAUUAUACUUAAUGGAGACUUUUCCCAAUUGAAUAAUUUGAUUGACUGAGAUUGACGUUGAGUUUUUUGCAGCAGCCUUGUGAUAGGUACAAAUGAAUUCUUCUGGGAUUUAUAUCUGCAUAAAUCGUCAACAGAUUUGUGUGGAUAUAAUUCAUAUCUGCAGCUAUUGUGAAGAACCCCACAAGCCAUCAGAAAACUGGGACACAAAUUUCCCUUUUCCUAUGGAUAAAUGGACCCUACAGAAGUCCCAAAUGUUGUGUGGCAAAUCUAUCCAAUACAAGGAUAACAAUCUCAUUGAGCUGCUCUUUUGGGCUAUACAAACCAUAUCUUUUAAAUUGUUACGUCGUUAUUAAUGUAUGUUAUGCAUUCAAGUUUUAUGUGGCCGACUCUAUCUAUACAUUAAUUUUGUCGUGCUGAUGUAAUAUAAUUGGGCUUUGGCGUUGGUCUAAAUGAAUAAUCCUUUUACAGUCGAACUCGUACAUUUUUUGCUAGUUG
rnacentral:lncRNA from 1 species